rnacentral:tRNA from 1 species
GGAGGGAUGGCAGAGCGGUUGAUUGCACCUGUCUUGAAAACAGGCCUGGGUAAUACCAGCGGGGGUUCGAAUCCCUCUCCCUCCG